AUGGCUUUUCAGGUGCAGAUUUUCAGCUUCUUGAUAGUUAGUGUCACAGUGUCCAUGGGAGAAAUUGUGCUCACCCAGUCUCCGGCCUCCAUAGCUGCAUCUCAAGGAGAGAAGGUCACCAUCAACUGCAGAGCCAGCUCAAGCGUGAACUCCAAUUAUUUUAACUGGUACCAGCAGAAGCCAGGAGCUUCCCCCAAACUCCUGAUUUAUAGAGCAUCCAGGCUGGCUUCUGGAGUCCCAGCUCGAUUCAGUGGCAGUAGGUCUGGGACAUCUUACACGCUCACAAUCAGCAGCAUGGAGGCUGAAGAUGCUGCCAUCUAUCACUGUCAACAGUUGGGUAAUAACCAAGCCACACAGUGA